AUGAACGCUGGCGGCGUGCCUAAGGCAUGCAAGUCGAACGCCUCUUUCUUCGGAAAGAGGAGUGGCAAACGGGAGAGUAACACAUUGGUAACCUACCUCGAAGUCGCGAACAACCACUGGAAACGGUGGCUAAUACGCGAUGGUCAUGAGGGGUCUUCGGACAUUCUCAUGUAAAGCUCCGACGCUUCGAGAGGGGCCUAUGACCUAUCAGCUAGUUGGUGUGGUAACGGCUCACCAAGGCAACGACGGGUACCGGGUGUGAGAGCAUGACCCGGCUCACUGGGACUGAGACACUGCCCAGACUCCUACGGGAGGCUGCAGUCAGGAAUAUUCCACAAUGGACGAAAGUCUGAUGGAGCGACGCCGCGUGCUAAACGAAGCCCUUCGGGGUGUAAAUAGCUUUUCUGGGGGACGAAUUCGUGACGGUACCCUAGGAAUAAGAGGUUGCUAACUCUGU
rnacentral:rRNA from 1 species